GAUAGCAUUUCUGAAAGUGAGCCUGAUGUUUCUGACUAUGAUUGUAGAAAAUAACAUAUUACAUUUAAUAAGGAAUGUUGUUUUGGCAGUUGACAAUGCUAAGGUGGUAUCAGUGGGAAACACUUAUGAGUAUGGAGUCCAUGAAAAAUCUGAUUCAUGAGCCUCUAGGUUUUGGUUUAUGACUUCCAUUGACAAAGUUUCAAAAUUAUUUUGGGAGCGCUUAUUGGCUUUUCUUGGACAUUUGAACAAAUGUUGUCAUUCAAGUUUCCACGCUUACACCUACACAACUGGAGCAUUUUGGCCAAUUGGCAUCAUUGGUGCAGAUUUUGUUUUAGGCACUCGGAAACUUAUCAAGGUACAAGCACUUUAGCCUGCAUUGCAUUAUACAAGCCAAGCACAAAUCCCUUAUACCCCUGUUGAGCAUAAACAACCCUUAUGCCUCUUAAAAAAGCUAUGAGAUUGAGAAGGAUAGAGAAAA
rnacentral:misc_RNA from 1 species